CAUGCAUGUCUAAGUACAAACUAUUAUUAAAGUGAAACCGCAAAAGGCUCAUUAUAUCAGUUAUGGUUUAUUGGAUCAUUAACAGUUACUUGGAUAACUGUGGUAAUUCUAGAGCUAAUACAUGCAAUAUAAACAUGAACCUUUGGAACAUGUGCUCUUAUUAGGUUAAAACCAAGCGAUUUUUUUCAAAAUCGUUAUUAUGGUUGAACUCUAGAUAAUUUGCCAAUCGUAUGGUCUUGUACCGACGAUAGAUCUUUUAAAUGUCUGCCCUAUCAACUAUUGAUGGUAGUAUUUAGGACUACCAUGGUUGCAACGGGUAACGGGGAAUCAGGGUUCGAUUCCGGAGAGGGAGCCUGAGAAACAGCUACCACAUCUAAGGAAGGCA
rnacentral:rRNA from 1 species